rnacentral:tRNA from 1 species
GGGCCCGUAGUCUAGCGGUAUGAUGCCCGCCUCACGCGGCUCCUCGCCUGGGAACGCGGGUGGUCCCGGGUUCAAAUCCCGGCGGGCCCACCA